AUGUAAUGUAUGUGAGCAAAAUUCAGCAUGGCGGAUGUGUGUACAUGGGAGAGACCCUUGCUGUCGAAAAUUUGAGUAAAAUCGGUCAAAUUGUGCCUGUAUUCGACGAAAACACGUUGCUAUGGUAGAGUUCAACAAGCACACCCUAUGAAAUCGACUGAAAACUUUGAUUUCAAUUUGCAAAAGGCCCGAAUUUUUUCCAGCAAAGCAAGAAUCACAAGAGAAGACUUCAAACCUUAAUGAACAACUGACAGAGGUUUGGGAGCUUUCCGGACUCGUGGCAAUGUGGUGGUUAACAAGGAUUUGACGUAAUCUCGUGUCCUUUUUCUUCACAUGGUCAAAAUGCUGGGACUGGGUGUUGAAGGAGUGUUGAAGGAGUGUAUUCCUUCAAUCCUUUGUUCACCAUGGAAUCCAUUGUUGAAGAAAAGGGCAAACAUGUUCUAGCAUAUGGAGCCUUAGUGUGAUCAUCAUGUCUGUACAAAAUAGGUGACCACGUCAUAACCAUAAAGGUCGUAAAACGGUGGCGCGUAUGAGUAGUGUGAAAAAUACACUGUCGUUACACUGCUACUUCUACGUCAUGGUUAAAAUCACAUCUAGAAAUGAUAAAGUGUUCCUCUAGCGCAUGCAGCCAAUAAAAUUAUUUGUGCAUUAAUUUCUACAAGUUUUUCAAAUCAAGGUACACUCUUUGUCGACCUUACUUUCCAACCCUAUUACAGUCCGGGAUAGGGUUUAAUUAUAUGUUUUUGUUCAAAACAAAAACUACGAAGAAAGAAAAACUGAUUUUCCUUACAGCUCCAUUGCCUAGUUUACUUAAUCAGACCCAACUCGUGCUACCAUAUCAAAGAAAAUUAAAAUAAUUAUAUUAUUUUUCUGAUUAGUUUCUGUAAUGAAAUUAGAACGUAAGAUACGUUAGUUAAGUAGCCAUUAUUAUGAUGUGAUCAUGUGAACACCUGAGAAAAUGUAAUUUCUGACGUUUGAGUGACAUGGCAACAAAUUAGUCAGAAAUUAAUAUUCUGACGGCACGUUGAAGAGGUUCGCAUGGAGUGGCAACAUGGUAGUUUCGGAUUAUUUAAGCGUUUCGCGGGGAAAAUUAAAUCAUUCUACGUCGGUCAGUGUUAGGUUUGACCACUUUCCUUUUUUUUUUUUUAUUUAAUGUAAUUUUGUUUUACAACUCUGUAAAAUAUCACUGCUUUCAUUAAAUUUUCUGUGUGAUUAGUAGUGUAACUAGGUUUAUUUUAGUUACCCUUUCCUCGGGGUAUAGUGCUGCUGCAUUAGAUGAGGAAUACGUUUCCACAUAUUUUUUGGCCUCUUCUAAAGAGCGGUUUUUUAGUGGUUUUUCUUAUCUGGCGUUGCACAGCCUAUUUUUGUAUAACCCUUCAGUUUCAGUGAGUACUUGCAGUACAUUGCAGAUUGUAGUAGGAUGUGUAGACUACAAGACUGGCUGACUCAUCCCAAAUGAACUUUCACAUUGAAUA